UACGUAGGGGGCGAGCGUUGUCCGGAUUUAUUGGGCGUAAAGAGCGUGUAGGCGGCCAGAUAAGUCCGCUGUGAAAACUCGAGGCUCAACCUCGAGACGUCGGCGGAAACCAUCUGGCUAGAGUCCGGAAGAGGAGAGUGGAAUUCCUGGUGUAGCGGUGAAAUGCGCAGAUAUCAGGAAGAACACCCGUGGCGAAGGCGGCUCUCUGGGACGGUACUGACGCUGAGACGCGAAAGCGUGGGGAGCAAACGGG
rnacentral:rRNA from 1 species